CUUGCGUGGCCUAGUCGGAAGCGUGUUUGGCUCGCAACCGAAGGGUCGUGAGUACAAAUCCCACCUAAAA
rnacentral:tRNA from 1 species